UCCCCGUCACAACGGCUUCCUGGCGUGGCGGAUGACCCUAAUGGAGCG
rfam:Roseovarius nubinhibens ISM scf_1099451318306 genomic scaffold, whole genome shotgun sequence.